GAUGAACGCUAGCUAUAGGCUUAACACAUGCAAGUCGAGGGGAAACGGCAUUAUGUGCUUGCACAUUCUGGACGUCGACCGGCGCACGGGUGAGUAUCGCGUAUCCAACCUUCCCUCCACUCGGGGAUACCCCGUUGAAAGACGGCCUAAUACCCGAUGUUGUCCACAUAUGGCAUCUGACGUGGACCAAAGAUUCAUCGGUGGAGGAUGGGGAUGCGUCUGAUUAGCUUGUUGGUGCGGGUAACGGCCCACCAAGGCGACGAUCAGUAGGGGUUCUGAGAGGAAGGUCCCCCACAUUGGAACUGAGACACGGUCCAAACUCCUACGGGAGGCAGCAGUGAGGAAUAUUGGUCAAUGGACGGAAGUCUGAACCAGCCAAGUAGCGUGCAGGAUUGACGGCCCUAUGGGUUGUAAACUGCUUUUGUUGGGGAGUAAAGUGAGGCACGCGUGCCUUUUUGCAUUUACCCUUCGAAUAAGGACCGGCUAAUUCCGUGCCAGCAGCCGCGGUAAUACGGAAGGUCCAGGCGUUAUCCGGAUUUAUUGGGUUUAAAGGGAGUGUAGGCGGUCUGUUAAGCGUGUUGUGAAAUUUAGGUGCUCAACAUCUACCUUGCAGCGCGAACUGGCGGACUUGAGUGCACGCAACGUAUGCGGAAUUCAUGGUGUAGCGGUGAAAUGCUUAGAUAUCAUGACGAACUCCGAUUGCGAAGGCAGCGUACGGGAGUGUUACUGACGCUUAAGCUCGAAGGUGCGGGUAUCGAACAGG
rnacentral:rRNA from 1 species